GAGGUAGCAGGUGAAAUCCUGCCACCUCCAGGUAAGUCAUCAUCUCCUGUUAAAAAUUCAAAUAACUGAAAAAGCGUCCUAUUUUCCCGCAAACCGAGUUUUGUACUAGGAUCACAUGAUGUGUAAAGAGGUGGCACGUGAAAUCCUGCCCCCUCCAGGUCAGUCAUCAUCUCCUCUUAACAGUUCAAAUUCCCGCUAAACCGUGCAAGUUUCCCGCAAACCGAGUUUUGUACUAGGAUCACAUGAUGUGUAAAGAGGUGGCACGUGAAAUCCUGCCCCCUCCAGGUCAGUCAUCAUCUCCUUUUAACAGUUCAAAUUCCCGCUAAACCGUGCAAGUUUCCCGCAAACCGAGUUUUGUACUAGGAUCACAUGAUGUGUAAAGAGGUGGCACGUGAAAUCCUGCCCCCUCCAGGUCAGUCAUCAUCUCCUCUUAACAGUUCAAAUUCCCGCUAAACCGUGCAAGUUUCCCGCAAACCGAGUUUUGUACUAGGAUCACAUGAUGUGUAAAGAGGUGGCACGUGAAAUCCUGCCCCCUCCAGGUCAGUCAUCAUCUCCUCUUAACAGUUCAAAUUCCCGCUAAACCGUGCAAGUUUCCCGCAAAUCGAGUUUUGUACUAGGAUCACAUGAUGUGUAAAGAGGUGGCACGUGAAAUCCUGCCCCCUCCAGAUCAGUCAUCAUCUCCUCUUAACAGUUCAAAUUCCCGCUAAACCGUGCAAGUUUCCCGAAAAUCGAGUUUUGUACUAGGAUCACAUGAUGUGUAAAGAGGUGGCACGUGAAAUCCUGCCCCCUCCAGAUCAGUCAUCAUCUCCUCUUAACAGUUCAAAUUCCCGCUAAACCGUGCAAGUUUCCCGAAAAUCGAGUUUUGUACUAGGAUCACAUGAUGUGUAAAGAGGUGGCACGUGAAAUCCUGCCCCCUCCAGAUCAGUCAUCAUCUCCUCUUAACAGUUCAAAUUCCCGCUAAACCGUGCAAGUUUCCCGCAAAUCGAGUUUUGUACUAGGAUCACAUGAUGUGUAAAGAGGUGGCACGUGAAAUCCUGCCCCCUCCAGAUCAGUCAUCAUCUCCUCUUAACAGUUCAAAUUCCCGCUAAACCGUGCAAGUUUCCCGCAAAUCGAGUUUUGUACUAGGAUCACAUGAUGUGUAAAGAGGUGGCACGUGAAAUCCUGCCCCCUCCAGAUCAGUCAUCAUCUCCUCUUAUCAGUUCAAAUUCCCGCUAAACCGUGCAAGUUUCCCGCAAACCGAGUUUUGUACUAGGAUCACAUGAUGUGUAAAGAGGUGGCACGUGAAAUCCUGCCCCCUCCAGAUCAGUCAUCAUCUCCUCUUAACAGUUCAAAUUCCCGCUAAACCGUGCAAGUUUCCCGCAAAUCGAGUUUUGUACUAGGAUCACAUGAUGUGUAAAGAGGUGGCACGUGAAAUCCUGCCCCCUCCAGGUCAGUCAUCAUCUCCUGUUAACAGUUCAAAUUCUAGCUAAACCGCCCAAGUUUCCCGCAAACCGAGUUUGGUACUAGG